AAGGGAACGCGGUCAGAAACCGCGGCUGUGCCCGCAACUGUAGGCGGCGAGGCCGUCGUUCGAUCCGGGAGCUUGCUUCCGGCGUCACUGGGCAACCGGGAAGGCGUGAGCGGCUGUUGUUGACCCGCAAGCCAGGAGACCU
rnacentral:ncRNA from 1 species